CUCUGCAUUCACUGCUUCCUGGCAGCCUUGAUUGGAACAGCUUCCCUCACUCACACACUUAUCCACAGCAUCCUCCCUUACCUCAGACCUCACACAAUGAUGUCACCAAGCAAUAGACUGAAACCUCAGAAGCCAUGUAAUGAAAUGAACCCUCCUUCCUUUAUUAAGCUUUUUUUUCCUUGUGGAGGAAAAGUGACUAACACACCCACUGUACCAGUGUCUGUCAACAUGAGUAUGUAGUUCAAAUGACUCUUAGGAGCCUGGAAAUCUUCAAGUUGACACUCUCAAUCGAAAAUGUAAAAACUAUGCGAACGCUGCUCACCAUCAAGAACUCACAUACACAAGGUCCACUUCUCAUUUUUGUUAGCUUUGGAUACACACAAGUCUGCCUUCUGUGGUCUCCAAUCAUUGGUUUCAGUUACACACAUGAAGUCAUGUGGAACAAACUGCACUCUGUCUUUCACUUAAAAAUGUGACAAAGGUCCUGUAAAUGUUCUUCUCAAUGCAAAACCUUGCUUAGAUGCUUUUUCUUUUAAUUUUCUGUUCACUGAUAGAGCAUUUUGAGGUCUGUUUCCCCAGGAUCUAACGUCUUGAUCCAGUGGAAACUGCCACACACUGAAGAGGGUAAGUGUUCCAGAAAUCCAUGCAUAAGCCUUAUGUCCUUUCACUCAGAGAGAAACAGCUCACUCUGGCCCACUUCUCCUCAGUACCCAAAGACACAACAUGCUUGCACUGAAGCCCCUGAUGGUCCAUCUCUGCAGACUCCUGAGAAGGACAUGGAGUACAGCUUCUUGUCUCCAGAUAAUUCUCUACACUGCUGGUUUAUAAUCUUCUUGUGUCUCCUAUUACAGACUGUGGUGGACAAGGCACAAGCCCUAGGAUUUCAGAGGUGAUGAAUAGGACCACAUCUGAUGUAUCUCUAGCUUCAGGUACUGAAAUAGCCCUGGGAAACUUGGGCUUAUAGCUCAAUACUAUCUACAUUCUUCCAUAUUGUCAAGCUCCCAUUCCCUGCAGCUAAGUUGGGCCAUACACAUGCCUCUAAGGGAA
rnacentral:lncRNA from 1 species